rnacentral:rRNA from 1 species
AUUCCAGCUCCAAUGGCGUAUAUUAAAGUUGUUGCAGUUAAAAAGCUCGUAGUUGGAUUUCUGGCGGGAGCGACCGGUCGGCCCUUGUGGUGUGUACUAGCGUUGCGUCCGGCCAUAUUUGCGGAGAGCGUGUGUGGCAUUAAUUUGUCGUGCACGGGACCCGCAUCGUUUACUGUGAGAAAAUCAGAGUGUCCAAAGCAGGCUUAUGCCUUGGAUAUGUUAGCAUGGAAUAAUAAGAUAAGACUUUGGCGGUCUAUUUUGUUGGUUUGCACGCCAUUGUAAUGAUUGAUAGGGACAGUUGGGGGUAUUCAUAUUUAAUUGUCAGAGGUGAAAUUCUUGGAUUUAUGAAAGAUGAACUACUGCGAAAGCAUUUACCAAGGAUGUUUUCUUUA